UGUGUGUGUGUACUGACCUGGAAGCCUUCCCUCUCCAGCAGAGCCCUGCAGAAUGACAGAUCAAACCUGGGGUUCAGCAUGGAGGAGAUGUUCUUCUGUUUUCUGUCUGGAUCUUGGAUGAUCGUCGUAGGUCAACUUCCACAUCGCUCUCGUCUGAAGGCACAGACGUCUUGUCCUCCAUCUCAUCCAUGAUGACGAGACACUGAACGAGCAAAAAACUGUGAUACAGUUUAAUCAAAAUCACCAACCAUAAUUCAGACGAAGUGAGUAAGAGUGGUGUGAAUGGCCAGUGUGAUGACUGCCAGUGUGAUAUACAGUGCAGCAACACAGUUCCAUUAGCCUGGUCUCAGAUCUGUUUAUGCUCUCUUGUCAACUCCUACAAUGACUAGUGGAGACAGCACAAAAAUAUCUGGGUCCAGGCUACAGCUUUUUUGCUCAAGCAGAGAGAUGUGUUGGCAUGAUUAUGACACCACUUCCUAGUUCUCAUGUAUCGUAGACUGUCAGAUACAGUAUGUGUAGGAUGUAUACACAGUAUUAUGAAGUAAGUACUAACACUACAGCUUGCAAGAAGCACAAGCAGCACAUUCCAGUGACAUGCAAAACAAACAAAGACAUUGAAAUUGAGAAAAUUUGACCAAAUAUUCCCCCAGUAGAUAAUGUUUUCCUGAGGCAUAGCUUAAACUGUAAUCUCGGGUAUAGCAGAACUAACAUCUUGUGUAAUGUUGUCGCGUGCGCAGAAUCUGUUCACAAGAGAUGAAUUAUACCGUUCAGCAUCUUGGAGAAACCAACAGAAUAAUUCAACUGUGCUGCCAAGGAUUUCAGAUUCAGCACUUUCAACACAAGUUUAAACAAUAAUUUAAGUCGUAGACUGAGUAGACGGUUUUACUGUCAUUGUAAUUUCCUUUACUAUCCAAGUAUACUGAACUUAGGUGUAGCGAAAGGCAACUACACUUGUCUUUCAAAUGUGAACUUUUCUCUUUUCUCAGGCUACACUCUUCACAGGUUUCUGUUGAAAGUGGUUAAACUGUACCACGGUUAUAAGAUAGACAUACUGCACCUCAAUAGGCACUGUCUUCAACGCCCCACACACAGCCAAAUUAUCGCUUUCCUUUUAGCAACUACAAAAUCUGUGAAAGAGAAAUAAUGAAAAUAGAGAAGAGACUGAGAGAGCAGCUAUAUCUUUGUUCUUUCUCUCCCUCUCCCAUCCUCCCUCUCUCCCUCUGCCGCUUUGUCUCUCUCGUUUGCUUGUUAGAGAGGGAGACAAAUGUUUUGCACAAAUGCUGUCGGCGAGGUUGAUUUCAAGUUGUCUCCUUAUCCCUACCGUAGUUCUCUCUCCCCCUCUCCCUCAUUCUAUCUCUCUCCCCCUUCUCUCUCAUUCUAAUUCUCUCCCCCUUCUCUCUCGCUCUCUCUCUUUCACUCUCAGGCACACACUCUCUUACUCUCACUUCCUCCCUGCUGUCAGUGAGUUGUGACAUCUUGCCAACUUUGAAACCGUUUGACUCUAUGUUUCUGUGCACGUGUUGUAAAGAAAAGUGCAUGUCUACAAUGUUAUGCGAAUGAGUGUAUGUAGCUGUGUAUAACCAUGUGAUCUGUGUGUGUGUGUGUGUGUGUGUGUGUGUGUGUGUGUGUGUGUGUGUGUGUGUGUGUGUGUGUGUGUGUGUGUGUGUGUGUGUGUGUGUGUGUGUGUGUGUGUGUGUGUGUGUGUGUGUGUAUCUGUGUAUGCAGGUUUAAUGACAGAGAAUAACAAAAUAUUUUAAGCAAGAACCAUCGCUUCCUCUUGGCUGAGUACUCCCCUCGUGUUUUCUCUUGAUCGAGUUCCUUCCGAACUCUAGGUAUGGUUCUUAAAGAUGCAAACAAUUUCAGAGAAUCAUAAAGUUUAGCAGUGACAGUGAGGUGCUGAACGUAAAGGAAGACACACGACUAAUAGGAGAACUCACCAGAGACUAUUUAAUGUAGAGUCUAUCACAUGAUCAAGAGCUUCCUACCCACUCGCAUUCAACGUAAUGCAGUUCCAGUAUUACAGUGUGACCAUCUUGCCUUCCAACUACACUGCAAUGCCUCUGGAACCAGACUCCCUGUAUCCCCCUGUAUUCUUUCAUUUACUACCCACUUUAAGCCCCCCUCCCCUUCCCCACACACAGUCUCUAACUCUCUCUCUCUCAAGUCAAUUCCAGUUUAAGGGGUUUAUUGGCAUGGGAACCUCUCUCUCCCAGCUUUGUGACUUAGAUCAGCCGGACCACAUGACUGGUGGAAUGCGGCAUAUGCUUCUCAGCCCAGCAAAGAGAAUAGAGUGAGUGAGAAAGUGAAUGAGAAAAUGUGUCCAAAUUGGGUAUUGUCUGCAUGCAUAACCAUAUCUGUGUAGGGUCUCGUGUUAAUGACAUAGCAAUGUACCAAAACACAAUGACAACAAGCUUUCUUUAACAAAUGGAUAUAAGCUGGCAGAGUAGGAUCCUACUUGAACUAUAUGAGGCAUCAAUGCGCGCGCGCGCACACACACACACACACACACACACACACACACACACACACACACACACACACACACACACACACACACACACACACACACACACACACACACACACACAAACAAACUCAUACACACUAUUCCUUACCUACCUUAGAUUGUUGUUGUUAUCCUAGCCAGUGUGGGUGUGGAUCUGGAUUUCUGGGAGACAGCAGCUGUUCUCCAGGCGGUCAUGACUCUGGUCUGGUGGUCUGCUGCUGGGGGCUGGCACUGUCACACAUUAACACAUGCCCCAGAGCCCAGAGGGGCACAGUGAGAGGUCACGCACAGGCAUGCACGCACACACCAUUCUGCAUUGACGGAUCAUAUACGGUCUCUGGGACAAAUGUGCACAGGUGCAUGCACGCACGCGUGCACGAGCAGACACACAUACACAGACACACACACUAACACAGGCACGCACACACACGUACACUUGGACGGAUCACAUACGGUCUUUGGGACGGAUACGCACGUACACACUGACAAAUGAGAACAGGCAGAGUGAUGCAUGCUAUUGAUUGUAACUUGGUACCAUGGAAAUCUGUAUAAUUAUGUGAGACUAACCAGUUGACCUGAAAGAAGAUCUAGAAACCACAAUCUGAUGACUCGUGAUAAAAGUGUGAACAAUGUUGACUUGGUGUUUCAAUGUUUUUUUACUCUGGACAUAGCAGACUACAAUAAACCUUGUGACUGGAACAUGGCACAACACAGGCAUGGUGGCCAGUCUUUCACUUCACUAAAGUGCUCAGGCGAGUACGCCAUCUUGUAUGAAGGAGUUAAUAAAAUGGAAUACUUAGUUGUGCGUAGCACGAGUCAUCAUCAUUGAUGUCAAGAGUGAUUAACACAAUGUUUAGCAUAUUUAUAUAUUUCCCCAUAAUGUAAUUCCCAUGAUUUCCAGUGUUCUGUUUGUAAUGGUCACUAGAUGCUGUAUGUUAUGGAUUAAACUCAUAUCUCUUGAAAGUGAUUGAUGCUAGGCUGGAGGUACAAGGACUGAGGACAGACUGAUUAUUAUUGUAGUCUGUGAUACACUGUGUGAUUAUGUAGCAGCUGAUAAAGUUACUGCUUUUUGUUUUGAGUUCCUACAAGCCUCUCGGGCUGGUGUUUACAGAACAUUUAGUGCUGUCUGAUUAGAAUAUAACGGAUGUGUCUCCAAGAGGCCAUAUAGACAUUCUCUCUGCUUCUAUGCUGGUUGUUGUCUCCCUAUUGCAGCUUGUAUUAAACUGUAUUGAUUUAUGAUUGAC